rnacentral:lncRNA from 1 species
UUCUUCACCAUUGGUGUUCUCUAGUCCCCAUUUUAGAGAGAGAGAGAGAGAGAGAGAGAGAGAGAGAGAGAGAGAGAGCCAUUUGUGUUCUCAAGUUCCUAUUUGUGGGAGAGAGAGAGAGAGAGAGAGAGGAGGUGAAGGGACUCUUUUUGUUGUAUACUCAUUGGGAACGAGGUGAGAGAAGCAUCGAUUUAAAUCGAAUCGGAGAGGGUGAAAAGUAGUAAACCCACAAAUGCGAAAGUUACCCAUGUGCUGUUUCCCUGAGAUUUACCCAAAAUCGAAGGAGAAAUCGACAAAGAUCCAGAGCAGCUGAUCGCCCCCACAUACAAAAAGAAGAAGAGGAGUAAACUCACAAAUGCGAAGUUGAGACUCGCCCAAAAUCGAAGAAGAAGUGGAGUAAAUUCAUGGUGUCUGAUCUUAAGAAGCCACAUUCCCUUUCUAAGUAGCUCCAAAACGAGAUCUUUAGCAAAGGAGGAGAAGAAGAAGAAGAAGAAGAAGAAGAAGAGGAGGAGGAGGAGAGGAAAAAGGCACCUUUCAUACAAUACGAGGUCCUGAAGCAAAAAAAAAAAAAAGAAAAAGAAAAAGAAGGGAAAAAACGAGAACUUUACGAGGAAGAAGAAGGAGAAAGAGGAGGAGGAGGAGGAAUGGGGUGUUGCCAGUCUCGGUUGGAGAGGAAGGAGGCGGUGUCGCGGUGCAAGGCGCGGCGCCGCUACAUGAAGCAGCUGGUCGAAGCGCGGCGCGGCGCGGCAGCCGCGCACGCGCUCUACCUCCGCGCCCUCCGCUCCACGGGCUCCGCUCUCCUCCAAUUCGCCCUCGCCGAGUCCCCCCAAUCCCCCUCCUCUCCCACCCCUCCUCCUCCUCCUCCUCCUCCUCCUCCUCCNUUGCAGUGGGCGAUGGCGCUCUGGAUCCCGUCCUCCUGCUGGAGCAGCGAGUCGUCCCUCCGCCGCGACGAUGGCACCGCGGCCACCGCGGCCGACGCCGACCGGCUCUUCCCGAGCCUUCUCCGCACCACCUUCAACCCCGGAAUGCUCGCCCUCGGCGCCCUCACCCCGCACGACGCCACCGCCGCCGCCGCCGCCGUAGGUGGCGGCGGAGACACCUCCUCCGCCGCCUCGGCCGCCGCGGCGGUGGCGGCGCCGCCCUCGUCGGUGAGCUGCUACGCCAAGGGCCGCGACGCCGCGAGCGAGCUCGCCAUGGUCGUCGUCCCCAAGAGCGGCGGCACCACCGGUAAAAACCUCGCCGAGAUCGUCAAGGAGCUCGACGAGUACUUCCUCAAAGCCGCCGACGCGGGCGCCCAUGUCUCCUUCCUCUUAGAAGCCCCUAAUUGCGACUUCCCUUCCACCCAAGGCCUAUCCGGUGAAAAAAAAAAAAGAAAAAAAGAGAAACUUUUGCAUUUCUUUUUUCCCCAAUCAUUUUGUUCAAUUUGGUGAUCUUCUCUUUUAAUCCAAAUUAACUGCGCAGGAAAAGUGUUUAGUUAUGGGAAGAGCCUGAACCCAUUGGUUUGGUCCAAAAGCUCCAACUCCAUGUGUGGUGGGUUCACAAGAAUCAGCAAUGGUGGUGGUUUUGGAGUCGCCUCUGCAACCCACUCCUCCACAGUAGAGAAGCUCUACGCCUGGGAGAGGAAGCUGUACCAGGAAGUGAAGGUACACUUAAUUUCUGAGCCCCCUUUUUUUACUCCUCUCUUUAUUGUGUUGCUUUUAGCUUUGCUUUAACCAAUGCUUUUGCCCACCCCCACAUUUCACUUUCUCUUUGUUGUCAUUUUUUUGUUCUUAUUAUGGUGCCAACUAUGAUUCCCCGAGGACACCAUGUUCUCUUUUGUUUUGUUUCUCUUAUUAUUCUAUUAUGCAGUGGGUGGUCCAACAGUAACAAAGAUGAACAGAGAAUUAGCAUUUUCUCCUUGUUUUUCAUUUACUUAGUUAUUGUGUGAGUUAAAUUGUAAAUUUUUUUUGUUACUGAUCAGAAUUACGAGCGCAACAAGGAGGAGCAUGAGAAGAGGGUGGACCUAUUGAGGAAGCAGGAGAUUAAGGGAGUGGACUAUGUUAAGGUUGCUACAUUUUACUCUUUAUAUAUAUAUAUAUAUGCGAUUUCGAGUUUUAUCAGUAUAGGUAACAAGUUUAAACUGUUUCGGUGAUUGAAGGUUGAGAAGAAUAGGAUGGAGAUUGAGAGGUUGGAGUCGAAGAUGUUGGUGGCUACUCAGGCUAUAGAAACUACCACUGCUGAGAUUAUUAGGCUGAGGGAGUCUGAGCUCUUUCCUCAGCUCCUUGACCUGGUUACUGGGUUAGUCUCUCUUCCACUCUCUUUUCGCAUGUUUUCCAUUGCUAUGCGCUUUGCAGAAUUAGAGCGAGCAAUGGUUGUGUGUUAGAACCUCGGAAUAGUUCACAGUUUAAAGAUCUUAAUUUUUAGAAACCUGUUACCCAGCAAUCAACUAAUCCCAAAGAUCAACAUGGGAAAAGGGCCACUGUAGAUCAUAUUUAACUGCGUUCAGGAGAGCGCCGGCCCGGGUUUAUAAUCCGCAGUCCGUGAGAUAAUUACUUCGCAUAAUUAGGGAAGUUACAGAAGCUGGUUGGUCAUGUGGACCUGGUAGUGUGGAUUCUUAGUUGAUUAUAGAAUUGACUGUCAGGGUACUACUGGGCCUCAAAAGAAGGGGAGAGAGUGAAAGGGUGUUGAUUCUUGUUACCUUUGCUCUCUGCAAACCCACAUUGCGACAGUGUGGACUGUUAGUUUUUCGUAAAGCCACCUUGAAUUUGGACUAUCCAUCAUAUACUCAUGACUCUAGCUAAGGGAUUGUUGAGCAAAUGGAGAAGAUUUGGAGUUACGCUGCUUUUUAUUGUAUUAGACUAAUAGAGCAGGAUUUUCUGAAGCUAAUUAGGAAUAUUUGUUUGACAUGUUGCAGAUAGUAUUACUGCUAAACCAGCUUGUCAUGCUGUCUAGAUCCUUAUUCGUGUCUUCAUUGUCAGAAUAAUAAACGAAACUGCGAUUUACAUCGUUACAGCAUUUUCUGCCAGUUUUUGGAAACGUGGUACGAAAAGUAUUUGACAACACUCUUGCUUUUUUCCCCUCUUCUUCUGUUUGGACUGGUAGUUCAUCCUCUUUAUGAUUUAAUGCUUUCGAACUCCUCGUUGUCGAGUAAACUCGGAUGAUUGUGUUGAUAAUUUAUUUGAUCUGGACGAGGAAAACUACUGAGAGCUACUUAAGAUACUUUUUUAGGUAUUUGGAUGGUAAGGGUACGGUAAGCGAAGAGGCCUCAACUAGGUGGCCCCUUUGAUUGUUUUGGACUACGCAGUGUUUGAACAUCAGAGAGAGAUUAUGGGUUGUGAAUAUAAGCAGUUAAUAUGAUUGGUAUGUAUAUGUCCUGUGCAAAUCAACACUUAGACAUGCUUUUAUAUGCAUGAAUAAGUAGUUCCUUCAGAUCUGCAGUAUUUAUACGACCAUAGUCACAAAUCAAAUACAAAUCAUGACCGGUAUGUACGUAUGCUAGUUUUUUAUCAAUUGAAUCAUCUAAUAUUUGUUCCCUUUUUUGCUCUCUCCCCCUUUCUUGUCUAAUGUUUUCCUGUACGAAAAAUCUCAGCAUGAUGGGCAUGUGGCGGAGCAUGUACCAGUGCCACCAAGUCCAAACUCACAUCGUCCAGCAGCUGCAGUACCUCAACAAUGCAUCAAACCCGAAUCCCACUUCCGACUUACACCGCCAGGCUACUAUCCAACUCGAGAUCGAGGUUGAGCGCUGGUACUCGGGCUUCUGCACUCUCAUCAACUCCCAAAGAGACUACAUAAACUCCCUCACAGGUUGGCUCCGCCUCUCCCUCUUCCAGUUCCACCACGACCCGCUUACGGGUACUCACCAAAACUCCGACAUCUACUCUCUAUGCGAGGAGUGGCAACUCGCCGUCGAUCGAAUCCCCGACAAAGUGGCUUCUGAAGGGCUUAAGAGCUUCUUGAUCGUGAUCCGUUCGAUCGUAGCUCAACAGUCGGAAGAGCAGAAGGAGAAGAAGAGAUCGGAGGCGGCUUUUAAAGACCUCGAGAAGAGAGCAGACGAAUUAAGAUCUCUCGAGUCUAAGCACGGUCCUUACGUAGCAAAUGAGAAGCGGGCGAAGGUGGAGGCUUUGAAGGCUAAGGCGGAGGAGGAGAAGAGCAAAUAUGAGAAGAGCGUGGGGGUGACGAGGGCGAUGACUUUAAACAAUUUGCAGACCGGCUUUCCGAAUGUCUUUCAAACCAUGACCGGAUUCGCGAGCAUUUGCAUGCAGGCGUUCGAGUCGGUUUACAAUCACAGAAGGGUUUCAGAAAAAAUCCUCGACUCAAAGAGGCUGCUGACCUGAGAGUUCCAUGAGAGAAAAGAAGAUAAAAUCAGUGUGUAAAUUGUAUACAGUUAAGAGCAUAGUAGGGUGAGGUGUUCUACAAGCUUUUUUGAGGUUUGUUUUCCUUCUGUAGGUAUUAGUUGCUGGAGAAAUGUGUGUAGAUUAUCAUAGUAGUGGGUCUCUCAUCCUAUUUAGAUUUGUAAUCAAGUUCGAGGCUGCUUUAUAUUAAUUACAUUCUGAGUACUAGGUAUUGAAUCAGAUGGUGGAUUCAAUGCAAUUUUGGUUUGGGAUUGAUCACUGAUGCCGCAUUAUUUUGCAGUACAAUAAGGCCUUCUGCAUCAUUGAAAAGAAAUUUCAUCAGACAAUUUUUCUUUUUUAGACACACCUUUUUUUUACUGUGGAUAUAAUUUUGCCCAAAUCUUGAAGUAGUACAAAGUGACAUACAACGGUAGGAAAAGAUUAGUCUAACAAUCUUUUUUUUUCAAGAUGUUGAAGUAGUACAAUGUUACAGACUGGACUAAUACUUUGAUCACAGGAAAAGAGAGCAAGAUCUACACAACUAAGCAAGAUAAACUAAUGCAAUCCAGUUUACCUAGCACAAUUUUGAAUUCUGAAUCAAUUAAAGAAAUCCAUAUUAACAGAACACUUAAACUAUCUUUAAAGCAGUAUGAAGAAAUCUCCAGGUCAAAAACAUAUGCUGAUGUAUGUUCAAAUUAUUUUGCAAGAUGCAUCUCCUCUCCUAUAAUUUGUCACCCAAACCCAAAGUCUGGUUUGCUCCUGUGAGAGUUCUAUGAAGUUCUCCACUGCAGUUCGAUUUGAAUCUGGCCAUUUUUCGAGUCGAUGAGGUGAUAUUUUUCAUUGAUUCUUUUGUUGUUCACAACAUCUGCAAGGCUUAUAUCAACAUAGCCCAAUGUUUCCUGUUGAAGAGAAAAUGAAAAAGGUAACACAAGAAAACUCGUCAAAAGGUAAAAAGUCUUUAAAACAUCAAACAGAAUAAUAAAUACGCUGCAAAAAAUAAAAAAGACAGUAUACGCAAAGAGAAGGAUAGUUUACUGUACUGGUUCCAGCUAACAAGUUUCAGUCACAACGCAAUCAUGGCUUACUGCUAGCAAUAAAAAUAUCGAAAGAAACUACGAGUAGAAAAAUUUUAACGCCAUUUGUACUUCCAAUUUCCCAUUUAGUGGAAUUUACCCAGAUCAGAUUUUAAACACUAAAACAAACAACGAACUUUCAAUAAGAGACUCAAAAGCCUAGACCCUAUAUAAACACCUAACGAAGGACCUGCAGCAUUUUAUCCUGACAUUGCCUAUAAUUACCCUCCAAUCAGUUGUAACUUAUUGCGCCACCAACUUUAUUCUCUAUUAUCGAUUGGAAUACAAAAAUACUUAAACACAGUUCUCUAGCUGUGUAAACUUUCAGAAAAAGAAGGGAUUAUUUCACAUAUAACAAAGCUGCAGUUUCCUGCGUUCAACUUUUUACGAGAACCUACUCACCUUUAAUUUCCUCAAUUUGACGUUAUGUCCAUGUUUUGACUCCAGAUAUUAGGGAGAGUGUUGCAUACAAAAUAUAAAAAUAUUGUUCUCUAGCAGCUUGAGCUUUUAGGGGAAAAAAAGUUGUUUCACACUCUCUAGUGAUAAAAUUAAGAGUUAGGUGCAUGAAAACAAAUCGUACUUAUUCAACAACUGCGAUUAUGGAGGAUAACUAAGAUCAUUGUUUACAUAGCAACUCAAAAACUCUGUGAGGUGCAGAAAACCAGAUACACUACAAGGUAAAGUCGCAUAUAUUACAUUAUGGGCGCGUUUGGUUCAAGUUACAUAAUAUUACAGAGUAUUUCGAUAUAUCCAGGUAUCUUGGAUUUCUAAAAGAGAUUACUACUUAUACUGCAUUAGCGUGUUUGGUUUAAUACAGUAAUAUACUGCUGGAUUGCAAUGGUUAUAGCAUUAAUAUGUUUGGUUCUGUCUAUAAAAUUCAGUAAUGUCGACAAUAAAAUAUAGUGUAUUCCAAAAUUGCCCUUAACCAUAUUUUGUAAACUUUUCUUUUACUGUUUACAAAUAAUAUUUUUUUUACUAAAUUUUAGUUUUGAUAAUUCAAAAUUUUAAAUUAAAAUUUUUAAAAUGAAGUAUUGGAAGGGUUUCGGUAGUUGGAGCNAAAAAUUAAAAUCUAAAUUUAAAAUUCAGAAAUCAAAAUUUUAAAUUUGAAGUUUAAAAAUUUAAAAUUUAAAAUUUUAAAAUUUAAAUUUAAAUUAAAUUUAAAAGUUGACAAUUCAAAAUUUUAAAUUAAAAUUUUUAAAAUGAAGUAUUGAAAGUGUUUCGGGAGUUAGAGGGGUAAAAUUAUCAUUUUACAUAGUAUGUAGUAUUACCGGUUUUCAUUAAUGCAAGAUACACGACCCCCCUCUCGUUAAUAUUUUCGAUGUAAUCCUGCUCAAUUUGUAAUGCUACAUUAACGACUAGAUUACAUAGCGGAUUAACCAAACACAGUUAUCCUGGUAGGAUUGCCUGUAAUCCUGUCAGGAUAACUCGAACCAAGCGCACCCUAUGAUCAAUCUGAAAAUAUUAUUUAAAGAAAAGCAGAAUAUGAAGAUUGAAUACCUUGGAGUGUAAAAUUCCCUUGUUCGGUGGCCUACUAAGUACCUCUACAUGGAUUUUGUCGUUAAUCGGUGGUUCUUCACAUACAAACUGGAACUCCUCCUCCCAACGGGGAUCUCUAUUUUUUUUAAUGUGCUGCAUCCAGGAAAAAGGUAUUCCAUCAUCAGAUGAAAUUACAUGCCUAAAUUAAAACUUGAGAUCUAGUAACUGAUAAUGCAUAAUACCCCGGUUUUCUUAUCCUCCCCUCUAAAAAUGACUCGCACGUAGGGGUUGGUGUGAUGCUUUCCUUCGAGAUCUUGAGCUUCAUGAAUGAUAACAACAAGCAAACCACCGCCUGAAGGAGUAUCAUCCGGAGCCUUCUCUACUACACUUGAAUCUUCACUAACAUCUUUAGGCAUCUCUUCUUCCUUAAAAGGCUUAUAUGUUACAUCAAGCACAAUUUGUCCACGUAACUUCUCAUUCUGAGCAUCAUUUGGAUCCAUAUUUUUAAGCAAGUCGAGGGUCAACGUCUUUGUCUCAUCAGGGGGCAAGUCUUUCAACCGAAUUGCAUUCAUGCCCAUUUUGUCAUGUUUCCCAACCUAAAAAAUUAAAGAACAGCUCAAAUAAGUAAAUAGAUACUAGUUAUGAUAACUUUGAGCAGAAAAGUUUGGGCAAAAUAUAUGGAUAGUCCACUUCACUAUCCCCAAUGCUGCAACUUGGUCCCUAAACUUAAACACUUAAAAAAAAAUGAACUAAAAAAAAAAAAUUCGGACAUCAAUUGUCUUUUGCUGUAAAUUAAAUUUUCUUGAACACCUAAAUUAAAACAAGAUUCAGGUUAAGGAAAUAAAUGGUUAUUUCACAAAAGGAAGUAUCAGCUAACAAUACAUACGUGCGCGCGUGCACACACACACACACACACACACACACACACACACAUAUAUAUAUAUAUAUUAGCUUCUUUUGACAGCUGGGGAUGGGAUUGCAACAUGCAAGAGAGUUCAAUGAUUAUAGUGUUUAAGUGAAAGGAUUAGGUACCACAUCACAAUAUCAUGAUAGUAAAGAACUAGCCGAACAUUCUAUCCAGAAAAAAUCACAAGGUGAAUUGGUGGAGAAAAAAGGCAUGCCUGUUCCCAGUCAAAGACACUGAACUCCAAAGUUUGAGUUUCGGGAUCUUUAACAACAAAUUUGAAUUCCUCAUUCCAUUCGGGGUUGAGAUUACUGUGCUUCACUGUUGUUUUCUUCGACGGAAGCCUAUCUUCCGACAGCUUAAGUUUCACGUAGGGAUCUGAUUUACCCAACAAAUCUUUCUUUCGCAGUUUAAGUGCCCUCACAACCUUCACAUGUAGAAUUCCGACUGGCUUCUUUGAUGCUCUGCAAAGUAGGAGAAAUAAUGUUUGCUCAUUCCAUGGUAAUACGUAGUGUUUCUUAAGAAUUGCAAAUGAUUUAAGAUAAUUUACUUUGAAGGAUCCAUUAUGGGAACUUCGAGUGUCCUAGGCCAUAGAUACAUACUAGCGACCUGCUUCUUAAUGGUCUCCUGCAGAUGGAUCAGAAAGAAAGUGCAAAGUAUCAGAGGGUCAGUCUGGUAAAAAUAUAUGCAAAUAAUUCUUUCUAUGAUUAAUAAAGAAUCAAAGGCAAAAUUAAACAACAGGAGGUAGUGGACAGGAAAAAGUUUACUUGAACGUGCAUAAUCCCAUAUAGUGAAAAUAAAAUUUGUUUGGUUUCAGAGUAAUUUGAUGCACCGGAUGUGGACAUUAAUAUCUCAAAUCGGUUUCAUGAACAACCACGAAAAGGACAAAUGGAGAACUAUAGAGAUAGGAACAGGAAACUAACCUGUACAUAUCGAUAAAGACCAGGAAUAGCCAUAAGAUCUGCACCCAGAAGUUUUAGUCCGAAAUCAACGUGUGGCUGCAGGAGAAAGGCAUAGUUAAUGCAAAGCAAUAGAAACUCGUAAUCAACGGAAAUUAUACGAUAUUCAAGCUUUCCUCUCACUUACCUUCUCCAUAAGCGACACAUAAAUCUUCGCAAAGCAAGGAAAAUUAGGGACCAAUGGUUUCAAAGUAAUACGCGGUUUAGCAAAAAUUUGCAAAUCCACCACCUGAAAAGUAUCAAACUGCAUAAGUAUUUUGCCUCCAGAAUAUUAACUUCUAACUACCAAGGAUUCUAGUCCUUCCACAAAAAAAGGGUCGAAAGAAUAUAGUGACACAGUAAAAUUAUUUUUUCUCAUAAAUAAACAUAUCUCAAUAACCUGAGCAGUUGCUUUCAAUCCAUAUGCCUUGACAACAACAGUGACAUUAGGGUUUCCGGCCCAUUUAAGUGAAGGUUCCAUAAUCAACUCCUGCUCCUCCGUAACAUAGACUUUCAUUCCUAAAAAAGAAAAAGAACCCAUUAAUAGAAUGUACAUAUUGCAGCACAGCUAUAAGCAGGAUUCUCAUUAAAGAAAAAGAAAGCAACAUAUUUGCUUCUUCUUCUUCUUUUUUCCAGUAAAUGCUGCAUCAUUCUUGGAUGGUGGAAAACAUGGUCAGCAUGGAAAAACACAAAAAGAAGGCAACAAAUUCACCAAAACAAACCUUGAAAAGUUGGGGGCAAGGUACCCAAAGUGAAUGUUUCGAAUCCAACCGAAUCAAUCUUAUAUUUCGCAGUAUUCUCAUCAAUAAUUGGUUUAGCAAUUUCUUUCGCGGUUCUACAGAUCGCCUGAAAAAGGAACAGAAAACACUGAAUGAAUAAUUUCGCAUCUUUCACACGCUCAGCAUUACUGCAAAGACUAAUCAACAGAUCAUACUUUGUCCAGAUAAGGCCACAUCAUCUCCAAGAACCUGUUUAGCCAAUCAAUCUGCGAAGGGUGGAAGAGAAGAAUAAUCAAGUUAAAUUACAGCAGAUGUUCUACGGUGAUUAGUGAAUCAAUUAUUUAGCUACACAUACUCGAUCAUAGUCCGGACAUUUUACCCAUAAGGGGAUUUCUGGCAGAAUGCGCUCCAAAGAUUUCGAAUCAUGCUCAACAAUCGGACGGACUUUAGGAUCCUGACGAAGAAAAGGACGACAAGAGGUCAGAAUCAAACAGCAUUCUUCACAUGAUACUACUUAACAUGCACAAUUCCUUUGUUCUCGCGGUCACGGUACAAAAAAUUUAUAUCUUUCUUACAAUUUAAAUACUAUUCUACUACAAAUAGUACUCCCCUGUACUUAAUGCAAUCUCUACGGCACUUUCAGUAAAUCUUGUUGUCGGCAAUUCAUUUGUUUUAGUCACAACUUACAAUUUCAUUGCAUUUUGCUGUACAUUUUUUUCGACCAAGUGAAAUCCACAAUAAAAAGAUCGAUACCUAAUCAAUCCAAGUUCAGUUGAAAUGCAGCUUAAUGGCUUAUAUACACGUGAUCUACCACCCAAAAAAAAAAAAAAAAAAAAAUCAGAAUAUAGUCGAGCUAAUCCGUUACAUCAUCUACAAGCCAUUUUUACACUGUCAAAGGUCAGAUACGCACAGCAUUAAAGCAAGUAUGAGCCAACUCAAACAAAAAUCUUCAGAUAUUCAAAACUCCAUUUCUAGGUCUAAUUUCCCCAAAAUCCAAACACAACAACACAAUAAUUAGCUACCAAAAACAAACAAAAAAACAAACAAACAAAGAGCAGUACAAUCACAACAAUCUCAAACAAUUAAAACGCGUUAACUAAAACUGAUUAAUUAGCGCAUCUUAACAUCAGUGAGUUGGAAAUAAAUGAACAAGUAGUACCCAAUCACAACCCCGGCCGUUAAUCCGGCGCCGAAUCUGGUGAAACCCAACGCGGUGCUCACAAAACCCAUAACCUAAAAGAGAAAAAAUUAACAAAUUUUUUAUCUUCAAAAGCGAACAAAAAGGAGGCGCGCGCACCUGCGAUAUUAUCCAGUGUUAUUCAGAUCUCGAGUCCCAUCUAAGCACAAUGUUGAUUGGAAAAUGUAGAUAAAAACUCCUCAUCAGAAGCUACGGAAUCGAGAAAGCGACCGCAUGGGGUCACAUGAAUUGGGUUCUAUGUCGGCAAAAUAUGCUUCCCCCCAGGUGUGCGUUGUUGUCUAUGCGGACUCGGCGCACAACGCCUAUGCAUGACAUUAGUUGGAUCUGAAAUACAAAAAAAAAUUAUGCGGGAGAUGAAAGGUGACUUUUGGGGGAUUUUGAUUUUGAUUAAAUUAAUUUGGAAAAACUUCAAAUACUACCCCCGAGUUUUGCAUUUUCUCACUUUAGUACCCUUUGAUUUAAAGUGUAUCAAUUUAGUACGCUGUGGUUUUAUUUUUCUCUUUUUAUUAUUAAUUUUACUAAUUUUUUUUGUUAAAUUAGUGAUAAAAUUAAAACUAAAGGAUACUAAAGUGAAUAUUUAAUAAACUUAGGUGGGAUAUCUGAAAUUUUUUGUAUAUAAUUUAACGAAAUAUUAACGAAGAAGCUGACGAAAAGAGAAAAAUGAAACCAUAAAAUACUAAAUUAAUACACUUUAAAUUACAGGAUAUUAAAGUGAGAAAAUGCGAAACUGUAUGGGUGGUAUCUGAAGUUUACCCAAUUAAUUUUGGAAUAGGAUUCGAAGCAUUUGGGGGAGUGCGAGAGAAGUGCAGCUCCCUUAUAAUAAUUAAUUUAAUCAUAUUUCCUACACCAGGUGCAUCCGUCUCACAUUUCGGUCUACCCAUUUCAAAAGUGCUCUACAUUUUUAUAGAAACACUAAUAAAAUUUAUCAGAGAACCAUUUUAAAAUCGUUUAUUUAAUCUUUCAAAAUUUUGAUUUGUUACUCAAUUUUUCAAUUUAUUUGAUUUGAACCAGUCAAUUAUAUUGUAAUUUUAAAAUUUAAGUUAAAUUAUUUGUUUUAAUAAAUUUAUAGUUGCGAGAAUUAUAUGAAGUAUAAUAACUAAAUCUGUAAAGAUAAACGACGCAUUCAAAAUUUGAAGUUAAAGUAUUGUUAACUGAGUCAAAUUAAACAAAUUGAAAGAUUGGUAGUGAAAUUUAAAUUUUGAAAAGUUAGAUACUCAGUUCGAGAUGAUUUAUAAUUCAAAUAUGUUAUGUACGCUUUUACCUUUUUUAUAUAGAAGUUCGUAGCAAUUCAGAGUAUGUGUCAAAAAAUUCGACAUGUAAGAUAAUUUCGUUUAAAAUUUUGAUGAUUAGUAUUUUAAAAUUACGAUACAAUUUAAAUAAAACAAAUCUUAUAUAAAAAGACCGCUGCUGAUUAUGAAAACUGAUAAACUAGACAUCAAACAAUUAAACAUUUAGUUGCAUUGCAAGAAUUAUUUUUACAAAUAAACAAAAAAUAGAUGUCCAAAAUGUAUAAUUCCUAAUUUGUAAACCUUCAAGUGUUAUAGUAAAUUCAGAUUUCUACAUCUCUGCACUGAGAUUUAAAUUUUAAAAUGUGGUGCACCGUGCACCGGAUGCAUACAAUAAUUUCUUCCCUCUUCCACUGCAGACUGUUAUUCAUUUGGAAAAUUAAAAAAAAAAUAAAAAAUUAGAGGAAAAAAAAAUUGAUGACAGACAGGCGUUGAGAUCUCCAUCAGAUAUUUAAAUUCUUGGACAGCAGGCGAACCGCAGGAGAUGCUUCUGAGUUAAAUGUAUUAAAAUAAUUUUAAAUUUUUUCGUUUAAUAGUUAAAGAAUUCGAGUCACAAUUGAAAUUCAUAUAUCUGCACGCUUUAAUAGCUCGAGCUUUUAAAAUUAGUGAUUAACACCAAAAAUUCACAAAUGAUAUCAGAGUUAGUGUAAAUUAAUUUGACUCUUACAAAUUGUAAAUUUGUAUAGAUAUUGACAAGACUUAAAAAAAAAAAAUACGACCAUCAUACGAGAAGAAUGUGCAUAUUAUAUGUAGCCUAUAUUGUUGGCGUACGACCUCUGCAGCUUUCAAAAUUCGAGUCAAUUCUAAUUCAUAUUUGUGCCUUAGUUUCAAAAGAUAUAAUUUAUUUCGGAUAAACUUUAAUUGACAUCAUUUCAUUUUACUAUCGUAUAGUUUAAGCAUUUAACUAUCAUAUAGUCAUAUCUUUGUUUCUCUAUAAAAAAUUAUUAUUAAAUAGGGGACUAAAAGUUAUACUUCUUUUUAAUCACAGGACAAUAUACCGUAGUGUUUCAUCAUUCUAUAAUUUAUAUUUUAUGUCCUAUAAUUUUAUAAAAAAAAUAUAUUAUUUUACAAUCCUAUUUAAUAGUACGAAUUUAUGAUGAAAGAAAAAUAAAUUGUAACGCAAUCAAAUAUAAUUUUUUGAAAUAUAAGAUGAUAACAAAACAUGCCCUAAACCAUAAUUUCCCCUUGAAGCAGAAAAAAAAAAGAUCUUCUCUCGUUUUAUUAACCCUUUUCCUUUUGGGAUUUUGUCCACAAAAUUGUAUUCAUCGCCUCGUUUGACAACGAUAUAAACCAAUUUAUUAAUAAGUGCCAUAUUUUGAACAAUUAAAUAUGAUAACGUAACUACAGGGUUAUGUUGCACGACUUUGAUGCACUUAUCUUGUAAACGACUUGCUCCAAAUGUGUGAAAACAAGUGAUAUAUAUAUAUAUAUAUAUAUAUAUAGAUUAUAUAUAUAUAUAUAUUAUAUAUAUAUUAUAAUAUAUAAUAAUAUAAAGCUCUAUGUUUAAAAGAUCAAGUAUUGUGCUUAUAGAUUUUUAUCCCAUUGAUUAAAAAAAUAAUACAUUAUUAAUAUGGCCCCACUAGGUUGAGUUGCGUAGUUGGUUGAAUAGUAAAUCAUCUAUAACGGUUAAAAUGACCGAGAUAAUAGAUUAAGCGGUAAAAAGCUACAAGCACCUAAAUCUUUGGCUUUUACACACUCAUAGCUGAAUAUAUAUAUAUAUAUAUAUAUAUAUAUAUAUAUAUAUAUAUAUAUAUAUAUAUACACACACACGUGCAUGAUGUGAUCGAUCAAGGUCAAGGAUAAUUUAUAUGAAUUUUUUAUUAUUUUACUCAUUUAAUUCGAUUUCUUAAAUAAAAAACAUUAUCACAUCCAUAGUUUUGAAGGACAAAUAGUCCACCAUUAUUUCGAUUUUGUAAUUUAAUUGGAUCGUUUGUGACACACUUUUGUGAUCAUUUGCAUUUUAGUUGCUACACUUAUAUUUUUGUUUGGUCUAAAUGUUUUAAAGAGUAAAAAAAAAAAAAAAAGAAUUACAAAAUUGAAAAUUGAACAAUGAAUGUAUUAAAUAGUUUUGUUAGAUGGGUUCCCAAGUAAGUUUCUCAAUCAAUUUUGUUUCCUUUAUCUAUCAAAUUCCUAGUUAUUAUUUUUGCUGAUUUUUUUUUUUUUUUUCAAGAUCUAAGCUAAAUAAUGGGCGGAAAGAUAAUUUUAGAUAACUCGAUUCAAAUUCGAUACAAAUUUAUGGAGAGAAAUCCAUAUUUUAGCAGUCCGUCGGCUCAAGAUCAUGAUAUUUUUGUGGAAAGAUUUGCUUUAAGGUUUAUAUAUAUAUAUAUAUAUAUAUAUAUAUAUACCUCUAAUGAUAUUGUUUUUCCUCGAGGCCCUCGCUGCCUCACCUUUGUAGCCAAAUUCAUCCAUUCAAUGAAUGAAGUAGGUAGCGUGCUACCUAUUCUCAAAAAAAAAAAAUCUCUGUGAACAUAACCAACCUAGCAUAAUUAAGUAGAUAUGGUUAAUUGACAAAAAAUAAUUUUUUAAAUAUUUCUUUGUUGUAGUACUUAUAUCUACUGAGGUUGUGAUUGUGAUAUAUUAAUUAGGAAGAGAAGAAGAAAUUUAAUAGAGAAAAAGGUGAAAAAUAAAAAUAAAAAUGAUUUUUUUUUUUUUGGUUUGAUCCUAGUUAACAUGUUUUUGUAAAAUCAAAUAUCAUUUACAAAGAAUAUUUUGUUUGGUGUGUAAAUUUUCCACAAAUUGGUUGUUUGGUUUCUUGAAAAAUUAUGAAAAAUGAUUUUUUGGAAAAAAAAAUUCAUGAAAAAUCUCUUUUCUAAUUUUCCGCCCCUUUAGUUCCAAUAAAAACUAGUUUUUUUGAAAAGUUUUUUUUCCCAGAUUCAUGAAAAUUUAUAUUUCCAUUUUCCGAAUAUUUUUUUAAGAAAAACAAAAAUAAUAGUUUUCCAUAAUUUUUCAAAAAAAAAUCUGAAAAAAUUAGUUUCUUUAAACUAAAAGGGCGAAAAGUUGAACUAGAAGUUUUUUAUGAAAUUUUUUUCCUUAAAAACUUUUUUCAUACUUUUUCAAAGAACCAAACACUCACUACACUUUUAGAAGACACGAUUUUGAAUUAAAUGGCGGAAAAUUAAAAGAGAUAGGAAUAGAGAAGGAUUCAAUUUAGGAUUCUCCUACUCUAAAACCAGUAAGAAAAACAGAGUACAUAUUUCAAAGUUUAAGCUUUUUAAAGAACAGUUGCUUUAAUUAUUUAAAUUUAAUAAAUUUCACGAUCAAUCCUAAAACACACUGCCUUAUGCUUGGAUUACCACCCAAUGAUGAUUAAAAUCAUCAAUUUUAGAAUUUUCCUCGCUCUGAUACCAUAUAGAAAAAAAAAAUAGAAUAUUUUUAAGUUUAAACUUUUAAAGAAUAGUUGUUUUAAUUAUUUAUAUUCAAUAAAUUUCAUCGUUCAUCACAGAACACACUGUAUUAUACUUGGAUCACUAUCCAAUAAUAAUAAAACACUUCAUAACAUUUCAAAUGAAUAAUAUAAUCGGUUUAUGCGAAUUACCAUUCGACAGUGAAGCUCAUGAAUCAAAGAUGUAUCACAUACAAUUUAUAUAAAAAUUUGGCAUCAUGAGAAGGGCAUUAAAUUUUAAGUGAGACUAUAUGUAGGGUUUCCAAAUGUCACCUUCUUGUAUGGUUAUGUAUUAAAUGCAUACAUCACUUUAGGAUCACAUUUUAUUAACUUACACGUGAUUUAAAAUAUCAUAGGACUUUGUCAACAUAUUGACUAUCUUAUAAAGCACCUAACUAAGAACUUUCCUUGGUUUUUGUGAGUAAAUGAGAUCAUUUACUUUCGGUGUCAAUUGUUAUAUUUAAUCUAAUAUAUUUAAAUUUUUUAUAUUCAAAAUUUUGCAAAUUUUUAACAUUAUUUGUUUAAUAGCCUCAAAUUUAAUAUUUUGAAAUAGCCAAUAUUAGCUGAAUUUGAAACUAGUUAAUCACUAGAUAAAUUAUGCGUGAAAUAUCGAAGGUUGAUUACUAAAAAGUUCAAAUAAUUUAGAUCAUAUAUAACGGCAACAAUAAUUAAUUCUAAUGUUUUACUACCAAAAAUGAUAUAAAAAUAAAGUUUGAUUUACUUUUUGAAAUAUUCUAACUUCACAUAAUUUUUGUUUCCUCUAACUAGUCAUGCAUGUUUGGUAUCUACCUAAACAAAAUGAGAAAAGCCAAAAAUAAAGUAUUACACUUUUGAUUCUCAAACUAUGAGAUGAAAAAUUCUUCACUAUUUAAAUUCUAAUUUAUUAUAAUUUUUAUUUCAAACUUUUUAAAUUAAUGUAACCAAGUCUCGCAACCUAAUUUACUUUUCGAUAAUGAUGUGCUGCUAAUGUAGAAAUUUAGUCGUUGACACUUUAUCCGCCACAAUACUGCUCUAUUAUUAUUAUAUCAGCAAAACGUUACCAUUCAAUCAGCUAAAUUGGAUUAUCAGAUCGACCGUUCCUAUGGUAGGUGGUAAAGUACUUGAUGGUUGGUAUCUGAUAUCCUAUGUUCAAAUCUAAUUGCUUCACAUUUGCAACUAAGUUCAUUUUUGAAAAAAUAAAUGAAGCAACUACAGAAUGUCAACAAAUCGGAUUCGGGUGGAUUUUCAAAAACCUUAACUUACCGAAAUUCGAACCCGAAACCCAACUUAACAAAUUUUGAAAAUCCAUAUUCAAAACUGAACCCUACCAAAAAUUUGAAAGCCAAAUCCGAACUUGAAAGUCCGAACUUGAAAUAAAUUUUUUUUUUUACCAUAUUCCAAAACAUAUUAUAUCAAAAUCUUCCAAACUAUUAACUCAAAUAAAAUAUCAAAUAUUCAUAUAUAUUAUACAAUGUAAAAUUUAUUCAGGUUCGGAUUGCGUACAGACAAAAUUCGUUCUCGAAUUCCAAUCUAUCGGAUUUUCGUUUUUUAUACCCGUUUUCAAAAUCACGUACGUUUAGCAUUGGAUAAAUCGACCUUGUUCGGAUUUGAGUUCGGAUAAACUUGUAGGUAUCUAUAUCCAUCUACAUCCUUACAUAUACUUUAUCUCAAUAAAUAAAUAAAUUAGACUAUGAAAUUUAAUUAUAAUAAUUUUAAAAAAUUGAAUUAAAAAUUAUAAUAAAUUAAAAUUUAAGAGCUACUGUGUUACAUGCCUCAUAAUUUGAGGCCAAAAGAAUAAUCUAGCGGAAAAAAAAAACCCUCACAGGGAGGAAGUUUUUUAUGCGGCGGUCACACCAUGUCAGCCAUGUCCCAAAUAAUUAAAUUUUCAUGUUUGAUAGAAAAAUAUAACAAAAAUAAUUUUUUUAAAAAAAUCAUGAUAAAAUGGGUGAAUCCUAGGACUCAAAUAUGAUUAGUUGAAGACGAAAAAAAAAAAAGUUUUGAGUAGAAAGCUUCCAACAAGGUCUCGUUGAAAAAUCUCAACCAAUCGUCACGUAUUACUUUUUGAGAAUUAUAAUCCUCCAUUCUAAAAUUUAAAAAAUAUUUUAGAUUUUAUUAGUUAAAAGUAUUCUAUAAAUUAUUGGAUGAAUAUUAAAAAUUUUCACAGUCGAGAGUGUGAAAGAGUUGGAUUAGAUCAACAGGUUUUUAGUGUCUAACACAAAUGACAAAAAAAUUUAGCGGUUGAUACUCGAGAUUUCAAAUUUAAAUUUUAAUUAAUUUAUUUUUUAAAUUUAUUUUUAAAAGUAAUAAACGAAGCGCUCUCCCUCAAAAAAAAAAAAAAAAAAGAAAGUUGGAGGCGAUUUCCACGUGCCUUCGCAUGCGCCUCGUCUGGCGAUCGGACGGCGGAGACGGCUCCAACGGCUAGUUCGGAAAUCUCGAUCCAGCGGUGGGAAUCGCGUGGGCGGUUGCCGCCCAACCUCUCUCCGUACGUGUCUCGGGGGUGGCGCAGCGUUUGUCGGUGAAAUGAAAAACUACCACAAAACUCCCAAAAAUUAAAUAAAUUGAAAUUUGGAAAUUUGUGGAGACCACCCUCUACUAUGUUGCGUUUUAACAUGAGCCCACAGGGUGUUUUUUUUUUUAAAAAAAGAAAAAUUAACACUUUGGGCAAUUAGGGGGUGUUUGGUUAAUCCUAGGGGAAGCAGGAAAAAGAAUUAUUUUUUUUCAAAAAUAGUUAUGCAUUUUGGAUAAUAAUUUUUUUAAAAAAUAAAAUACUAGACUUUUGUAAAAUUUUUUUAAAAAAAUUAUUUUUUUUUUGGAACUAAAUGAAAGGAAACAGUUUUCCAAUCAAAAAUUAUUUUAUAGGUAAUUUUUUUGAAAAACCAAACAUUCUUUAAGCUAUUCUGGUUAAGAAUUAUUUGGAAUCGCGGUGCUCAAAUUAAGCAUUUUAUAUUUUGAGGGAUCUAAAAAUUUGAUAGUUUGUUUAAAAUUUUCAACUCUAUGAUAUAAAAUGGCAGCAAAAAUUGUAACUUGAAUAACAUUUAAAUUGGUACUCGCUUCCUAACUUUUAUAUUAUUUUGCCAAAUAGUGGUAGAACUAAAAAAACUCCAGCUCCGCAGCUAUACAAAGAAAAACUAAAAAGAAAUACAUUUGAACUUUAGUUCACUGAAUGUUUAUUUUUAUCUGAAUUACAGCGUUGAAACAAACAUGCCUAAAUAAAAAAUAAUAAUAGUAAUAAAGUUGAGGGGGCCAUUUCAAAUUGAGCAAUAGUUAGAGAGGUUUUUCCAUACAUUUGCACCCAAAAGAGAGUAGUUUACUUAACUUACUUUAUUAUUUAAAAAAAAAGAGAAAAAAGAAAGUAGCCGUUGGACUCGACGCUCUAUAAAAAGGCACCACCCCUUCACCCAACCUCCCCACAAGCGUACGCAUUUCCCCCACAAAACGCUAAAAACAACCAAAUCCACACACGUAGUUUUUGUUACAAAUCUAUAUACUAUAUAGAUAUAUAUAUAUACGCUAACUCUAACAGCUCCUCUUUUUUUCUUUUUUUCUUUUUUUCAAAUUUUAGUGUAGAUCGAAGGCGUUUAAUCUUGUAUAAAUAUACAAUAUCUUCUGAUCAAAUAUUUUCUCCUUUAAUUUUCUGUGUUUUUUUUUAUACAUUUUUUUUUUAAAAAAGAGAGAGAUAGAGAUUAAUCAGUGUUCUAAUAAUAAAUGGAGAGUGUAGUGAUAGAUAGAUCUCCUUCUUACCCAAGGACUAGAUUUGGUUCCGUGGAUGGACGAUUACUUGUUCCAAAAUCCUUCAACACAACUCGUUCUAAUUCCCUUUUGGGUCAAAAUAGCACCACUUUUAAUGCAAGUUUUGCACCCUCUCUCGUCCAUCAACCCCCUCUCCUCCCCCUCCCCAGUACUACUGCGGGGAGCCGAAGCGCUUUUCCACGACGCCCACGGCACAAAAAGCCGUUCUACGGCGAAGCACGUGGUGUUGUUGUUAUCGAUAAGUCGAAGGAAAAGGAGGCAGCGGCGUCGUCGUUGUCGUCGUCGUCGUCGUUCGUGUGGUCGGUGUCGCCGCCGCCGCCGAGUAGCGUCCCGAUGCCGAGGUUUUCGAUUACGAGGGGGAAGAAGGCUGCCGCGGCGGCGGCGGCAGGAGGUAGUGCUGCAGGAAAUUGCGUAGCGGCGGCGGCAGAAGAAAACGGCUCUGGCGGUGUGGAUGUCUGCGCUACCGACGGACUCCGGCGCCUCCUUCGGAUUUAGAAAUGAGAAAUCUUUUCUUGAGAGAUGCAGGUUUUUCGUGUGUUUGUCUAUAAAGUGAUGCGUCUUUUUUCGACAUACCUUUUUUUUUUUUUUUUUCUCUAUUAGGUUAUAUUCUGUGCAAAUUUUAAAGCAUUGCAGAAUAAAAUCGAAUAGAAAAUGGGGGAUGCAUCUUAAAAACCAGCGAUUUGUGUGCGUGUGAGUAGCGUCUUGAUCUUAGGUUGUGUCUUACAAUUAUGCACCAUGCAUGUUCAGAGAGAGAAAGAGAGAGUUUUUUUUUUCUUUUUCUUUUUCUUUUUCUUUUUCUUUUAAUUGGUAGCGUUUGAUGAUGUUACGAAUUAUAACCUCUGAUAAGAUGUGACGACGUGUGCUUUUGAACUUAUCCGAGUGUUAAUUGCAAUCACUAUCAUCAUGUAAAUCAUAUUCGAAGAAACUUAAAAUAAAAGUUUUCCUUAGUUUUUUAAGAUCUUUUGUGUUCAAUUAUUCGCAUGAGUGAUUUGAUUGGUUAAAUUUUCUCUUUCAGUGAUCUGCUGAAGAAUCGUUUUUUAUGGUUCAUUUAACAUUUACAGCGCACAUGAAAAUGAGUACUAGAAUUAUGGGAUGUUUAUGAUGUGUUUAUAUUUUAUUAGAUCAAUUUUUUGAGUAACAAAUAUAUAAUAAUACACUCUAGCUAACAAUUAGAGUCUUUCAAGAGAUCUUCUAUUAACUUAUAUUGAUCUCCAGCGAAAACAUAAUUUUGAUUAUUGUCUUUUCUGCUCCCUUCGCCGCAUUGAUAUUUUAUAUGGGUUGUUCUACAGUGUUUCUAAUACCUGCCAUUGCCUAUAUAACAUGGCAUCCAUCAAUUUUUUAUUGUGCGGCAGAAGUCAUCUAUUCCUCUAAGGGUGCAUUUGGUACACGUUAUCUUUUAAAAAUUCCUAAUAAUUCAAUGGGAAUAAAAAAAUAUGACGGUGUUUGGCUAAACGCAUAGUUGGUAAUAUUGGAUUCACUUGGGAAUAAGAUUCACCACAAAAUACUAAUCUCAUUUUCUUGAGGGGGUGGGUAUCCUCAUAUUAAUGAAUUAGGAUAAUCAUAAUAUGUUUAAUCUUUUUCUUUCUUCCUAUCCGCCGGCUAAUUGAUAUUAUUUUUCUUUACACUCUAACCUUAUAUCUCUCUCUAAACUUAUUUUUCUCUCUAAAAUUCAACUUUUUUUUCUCUCUCUAAACUAAGCUUUCUCUCUCUCUCUUUCUAAAAUUUCAACUCUCUCACUCCCUCUAAUUUCGACUAUAUUUUUCUUUCUAUUUUUUUAAUUAUGCUCUCUCUCUCUAACUUAUACUCUCUCUCCCUUUUUUCUAAAAAGAUGUUGAAACUUUUGGUAACAUUAUNUCUAAAAUUAAUUAAAUAAAUAAAUUAAUUAAUUGUAUAUUUUUUGUAAUAUUAAAUAACAUGGCUAAUUAAUAUUACCGUGCGAACCAAACACAGAAAUUUCACAUUCUUAGUAAUAGGAUGAAUAUGAAUAAAAUUCUAGGAUAUCUUUUAUUCCUAGUAAUCUUUCAUAAUGUGAACCAAACGCACCCUAAAAAGAAUCUUCGGCAUCACUUAAUCUGCUGCCAAUGCUGUCUCCUUCUGUGCUUUGAUUUCUCCCUUUCAUUUUUUUUUGAGUAUUUCAGUUUGCCUACUUACUAUAUAAUAUUUUUUAAAAAUAUUGAAUUUAUUUGUCCAAAGGAAGUGGCCGUAGUUGGCUGCAAGCCUGCAACAGAUGCUCUUCUUCCACGGGUUUUUUGAUUUGUCUUCCUUACUUUGUAUGUUUACUCCGAUUUAUCUACCAUAUAGUAUAUUUUAAACUGAUGUUGAUCUCUUUGGAUCAGAAAUUUAUUAAUUGUGUGUGAUUGAACUGCGUUCAUUUGUCUCCAAAUUUGUAAGUUCUUUUGUUCGUAAUGCUUUUGUACAUUUAAUUUGGUUUGAGUACCAAAUUGUGCAUACUAGUGUUGAACCCGCGCUUCGCCGCAGACAGUUUUGACACUAAUAUGCAAACAUAUAUUUAGCGUGAACAAUUUACUUUUAAACAAUUCUAAAAAAAAUAAUUUUUACUUUUGUUUUUGAAAAAUUAUAAGGACCGAUUAAGUAGAAAAUAUUAUAGAGAAAAGAGAUUUAGAUGAGGCAUGUGAGUCGAGGUGUGCGAAAAUACAGUCCUAGAAGCGAGAUUGUUCUUUCACGUGCGAGGUUCUGACUAUCACUUAUAACGAUACAACGACCACUUUCCAUCCCGUCGGCAUAUCUUUAGGUGGUGCAACAGUAAAAAAUACAAAAGAAAUGUAAAACUCGGUAUAAAGAGAGGAGAAAUUCAGUACACGAGGGAGAGAGGAAGAAGAAGUAAUUAGGAAAAUUUUUUAAGGUUCCAACCUUAUGAGUACAAUUCUCGAAUCAGGGUGAGGAUUUUGUCCCUUCCCGGUAAGGAAUUUGGAUAGAUUUGGUAUUUUUGUGUAUUUGAGCCCGGUAAGGAAUUUGGAUAGAUUUGGUACCUUCGUGUAUUUGAGAAGAUUUGAUAUCUUCCCGAGGUAUAAUCAUUAAAUAAAUUUGGUACCUUCCCAAGGUGAAUUUGAAAAGAUUUGGUACCUUCCCGAUGUGUAAUUAUUGAAUAGAUUUGAUAUCUUCUCGAGAUGAACUUGGAAAGAUUUGGUACCUUCCCAAAGUGUAAUCAUGAAUAUUUGGUAUGGGAGGGAGGACCGGAGGAGAGAGGAGAUGAAGGGAGAAGAGGAGAAAAGAGAAGCGGACACGUGUACGAAGAAACUGUCAAUUAGUUUAUUUGUAUGGAUUCUCUCUAUCUGUAAUGUUUUUAUAUAUGCUUAGUUUUGGUUUGAUUGUCAAUUUAUGCAUAUGUAUUUAAAAGAAAUUUGAAUUUUACUUGUGGUUGACGUUGUUUUUCUUGACUUUUGCAAACGUUUGGUUUUGAAACUCUAAACUUAUUUGUUCAUGCUCCUCCUAUAUAUAUUUGGUUUGAUUUAGAAUAUAAAAGUUAGGUAUCUGCACUCUAGGAUUUACAAAACUUUAACAAAUAUAAUAAAAAAUAACUAUAAUAAUAUUUACCCGUCAUAUCUCGUGAAGCGUUAGUAUCCACAAGAAAGUAGAAUGUUGAUGAAAAUCUAGGAAGCAAUUAGUCUGUAUAUUAGAGAAAAUUUGGAUUUGAAUUCUUCAUAAAAUCAACAUCAAAACAUCUAAGUCAAUAGUGGAAGAUUCACGCUGCUGGAGUUUAUUUAUUGACAAUUAAAAUACGUAGAAACUCUUUAUGUAUGCAUCAAAUCGAGACGAAAUACAGUGAAAAUCGAACCAUGUUCUUCUAAUCCCAAAUUGAGUGGGUGAAUGUGUGGCCAAGGGCAUCAUUUAAUAUAAAAAAAUAAACUAAGAUAAACUAAAAUAAAGUUAAAAUAGAAAAGGCAAAGGAUCCAAUAAGGACUUGGUCUCAAUGGAUGAUGGUUUUUUGCGACAUCAAUUGAAGAGAGAUACCGAGAACAACAAGAAUUGGCACUAAAUACAUGGAAACAAAUAAAAGUAUAAAUUUAUUUUAAAUAAGGCAAUGUAAAUAUAACAAUCGAUCUAUCAGUGUCCCAAAAUCAAUAAAUAAGCACAUUACGACGUAUAUUAAUUCCCCGCGUUUUUAAGCCUCUCCAACAACAAGGUCACUCUUGCAAUUAUCAUUUAACUCACUGCUCUUUCUCUUCAUUUAUCCACUAGAGAGGACCACACUGUCUUUCGUUACAUGGAAAGCUGGCGCACACGAUUCAUGCAUCAGUUUUUGCAGAAGGCAUGAAGGGUUUCGUCGAGGGCUUUUCUGUCGUAGUCGCCAGUAAAGACGCAACUACCCAAGGGGCCUUUAAGUAGGAUGAGCCUUAGCAAUCCAUCAGCCACCUUCUUAUCAACCUACAGUGACAUAAGCUGGAGUUAAAAGAUAAACAAUAACUUACUCGAGAGUCAAGAGAGCAAUCAACGGGUACUUCCUUUUUCAGAUAUUUUUGUCAGUUUCCCUUCUGUAGGGUGUGGUGCUAGUCGACAAAAUGUUGUUGUUGUAGUGAUAUUAGAAGAAGCACGACAAUUUUAACAAAAGCAACAGUUCUUAAUUGAAACUUCUGCUUUUGGGAUUAGGAUUAUCAUCCAGCUUUCCCACCACAACAGAGCUUUUCCUGUUUGUCAUAUGCUCCACAAGAGGUGGAUGCAGUAGAAAGCAGCAGUAUUGCGGCCAAAAAAGCAAUCAAAAGCACAUAACCUACUACAAAAACAGAAUUUUAACGAUACCAUUGUACGGAUAUAAGUGCCCCUCUCCAGAUAACUCUUGAUAUUCUUUUAAGAAUAUACUCCUUCAAGAGGUAUAUAAGAAACUCGAAUCUUACAGGGGUAUGUGUAAGUAGAAUACUUUGCAAAGAUAGACAUCUAAAAUCUAAUAGUUCCCAUCACUUACUGCCAUAGUAUUCUUGAACUUCUCCACCGUCAUUGUCUCGGGUGGUACAAUGGGGAGCUUGGCAUGCUGCAAGAUGUUGAGUACCCGAUUCAUAAUAGUAUCAUCGAUCCAGCCUAGACGGCGUGACAUGUCAACAGCCAUCACCUAUUAUACAGAAGUAUUAUAAUUCUUGAUAAGGGCAAGAGGAGGAGAGGGAGGGGGAGAGAGAGAGUGAGAGAGUUCUGUAUGUAUCACCAUUCCAGCUGCUACGGCCUCUCCAUGGAGCCAUUGUCCAUAGCCAACACCUGUUUCUAUAGCCUGAAUAAUGAGAAAAUUCGGUGAAUUAGCAGGCAUACUAACAAGGGGCCAGUUGUAAUGAAAACUCGACAACCAACUAAGGUGAGAAGAUAAUAACCAUAAAAUUGCAAUAAAGCAAGAUAUACAAGUUGAACGAGAAAAACUCUACUAGGUAUACAAGUUCGAUGAGAAAAGUUCUACUACAUAUAUGACUAAGCUUUCAUUGGUCUUACUUUUUCAGAUCAUGCAAAUACAUUUGAUAAGACGCUGUGGCAUGAAGACACUAUUCACAAAGAGUGGGAAGCAAAACUAAGGCCUUCUCUGCUCAUCAUCAAGUUUAGCUAUGCAAUUUUCUAUGUACUAGUAUUGCUCUCAAGAUGAGGCCUGUCCGGCAAGAAAUAGUGAACCAAAGCAAACUGGGGUGGCUUUUGGUUACUGUGUGAUAAGCAGAUCCGUAGUUUACCAGAUAGAACAAAGUGGAAAAACAAUUUAGAUCUGAAUAAAUACUGCACACAAUCAGAUUGCUUUCUAGAGAAAUUUGCAAAUGAAGGUGGGCUUUCGUGUGAAAAUGCAAUUUUGCAUCUCUCGGAUUGCCUAAUUUACUACAGAAUUCUUGCAGGAAUUGAAAAUUUCCACCAGAAUCAGAAAGAAAUUGAAGAACGAGUAGAAAAAACUAGAGAAGAAAAAAGAAGUAACAUGAAAAGAAGGGGAAGAAGAAACAGCAGACACUUAAAGAACUAAUUUUCAUUAAUUUGUCACUCCAUACUAUUUCUGUAACUUCCUCGGGCAUAACUAACUGUAUUAAUAUAGCUACAUAAAGAGGUACAAAAAGAAUCAGAAUCUUCUCAAGCCUGUUUACUACCAAAAUAGAACUGUUGAUAAAAUUUUAUUCGAGGAUCAACCGGGGAACACUAAAAAGAUUUGGGCAAGAGUCAUUCCUAAAGAUGCAUCUAUUGAUGAAACAAUAAAAAACUAGAAGCAUGUCGUUGAAAAUUUGAGGAAAAUAUAGCAACAGUAACUGCAGUGUAAACACUGGAAAAACUGAAUGCUUACAUGACCAAAUGUAUGACCCAAGUUUAGCGUAGCCCGUAAUCCACUUUCCUUCUCAUCUAAGGAAACAACUUCAGCCUUGUUUUCACAUGAUCUCUUGAUAGCAUAGGCUAAAGCACUUGGGUCCCUGCCAUCAUCAAGCGCAUAAAAGUACUGCCGGAAAGAAGAUGAAUAUAACUCACAGUUGUAACUAUCUGGAAUAAGUCUAACUAAAAAGGUAGCCUUUUCUUCUCUUUUUUUUUAUCAGGGGCAUAAGUCUAACUAAAAAGGUAGCCUUUUCUUCUCUUUUUUUUUAUCAGGGGUGGGGGGUGUGUUGUGAUUUCACUACUUCUUGUACUCAAGGAUUGAAAUAAAGUAAACAUACUAAACAUAGCAGGGAUACAAACAACUUGUACAAACUGGGAUAGUCCAGGGGUUUGUGUAAAAUCAGAGUUGUCUCUAUUACAUAUUCACUGCAUGCGAUGUUGUCAAUCAUUGUGCUGCACAUGACUUCAUUCCUAAAACAAAGCUUCUUUUAAGCUGGUAUAAUCAAAAUUAACUUCGGAAUAAAUUAAACCAAGCGACAGAUAUUUAAUUUACAGCUAGAAGGAAUCUGCAACUACAUAUUAGCUCAUAUAGAGAACAUAAAAUAAUAGGAAUUCCAAUACCUUGCUAAUAGAGCCUGCAUAUUCUUUUCUUGCCACUCAAAGAAUGCUGCAUCUCGGAUGAGCCCAUACUUUACAACUUCUGCAAUGCCUGAAGCUAAUUCCCUGUCCGGCAAUGUAUUUAGCGUAUCGGUAUCUACUAGCACGCAUUGUGGUUGAUAGAAGGCACCAAUCAAGUUCUUUCCUAGUGGAUGAUUUAUCCCAGUUUUCCCUCCAACUGAUGAAUCAACCUUCAUUUAUGAAUAACUAUCUGGUUAAACAAUAUAAUAAAGUGAAAACUUCAAUACUGUAGCAGGAUUUCUUUGUAAAACCCACUGGUUCAAACUGUAAUGCUUACUUUCUAAAGAUGUUUUCACAGAUGUAGUAAUCACGUGGCUCCCAUAAACAUUGUAAAUAAAUAGGAUCAAUAAGAUUAGCACUUAAUACUUAGUUACAGUGUUUUAAUAAACUGUGUGCUUGACAUGUACUCAAUUUCGAUGGCACUAAUGUAAAGUCCUUAGAGAUGACAAGAGCAAUGGUCAUGGCAACUCAGAUGGGUUAAGUGGUAUUGGACUACUAUACCACAGGAUACAGGGGGUUAUACUAACUCUCAAGUAUACUAAAAGCAACUCAGUAGAAAUGGCCAAGAAAAUCACCUGAGCCAUCAGAGUAGUGGGUAUCUGAAUGAAAUUAACACCGCGAAGAAAGGCGGCUGCGGCAAAGCCACACAUAUCACCGAUCACUCCACCGCCAAGGGCCACGAAUGUGCAACGGCGAUCCAACCUAGACUCAACGGCUUUAUCAAACACCUUCAUCAGUGUCUCCUACGGAUCAAAAGAGACAAUAAUUACAACAUAAGCAAUGAAAUAACGAAAAAACAAUAUGAUUGAAGUGGAAAAGGAGACAACUUUCCUAUUCCAAAGCACUUACCAUGUUCUUAUACUUCUCUCCAUCGGGUAGAAUCACACUUUCUACUGAAAUAUUCGAAUUCCCGUGUGUCAAUGCUUCGGUAACUUUCUCAAGGUAGAGUGGCGCGAUUGUUGUGUUAGUUACCACCAGAACUCUCUUUCCAUGUACAUGUCUAAGAAGAGGAGUAUGCACGCUUGAAUCAAAUUGAAAUCCAAAACGAUAAUCAAAUUCUCAAGGGCGCACAAAGAGUACCUCUGAAGAAGAUCGGGUUCGUCCAAAAGGCUCGAUCCGAUGUAGAUUGGGUAGCUCCGGUUCCCCAGGUCGACGUUGACGACGGUCGAAACCCUAGAUCCGGACUCUUUCCCCGCCGCCGCCUCCUCCAUUACCGGUGUGGCGCUCGCGGCGAUCCUCGCCCGGAUCCGGCUCGUUCUCGCCGCGGCGCCGCCGAUUUGGACGCGAAGGGGGUUCGCGGAGGCGGAUCGGAGGUCGACGGAGCUGCGGCGGCGGGGGACGACAAGCGCCGCGGGGGCGGAGAUCUUGGGGGUGGAGCGGAUGGAGGAAAAAGGGGAGGCCGCCAUGGAUCGGAACUAGGGUUAGGGUUUGGUGGCGACAAAGGGAGGGGAAAGGGGAUCCCUUCGUCGUUGGCGCCCAUGUUCGUUCGCUAUGGUUUUAAGCUUUUGGUGAGAGAUGCGGGAGUGGGUAGGUGAGGGAGGUGGGUCGGGGGUUUCUCGCACGUGCGGGAACAGAGAGGCGUCGCGUAAUGGUCGCUGGUAUAGAAGUAUGCGGGCGGACGGAUCCGCCGUUGGCGUCGCGUUACGGGGAAACCAACGGCGGAUUAUCCUCCCCGCGUAGAGAUUCUCGUGAGGACAAAAGCAUCGGCCGAAGUCAAGGUCUCCGGUAAGCGGUUUUCACCGAGUGCGGUAGGUAGGCGGCGACGCCACGUGGCGGUCGACGGAGGAUCGAAUGACGUGGCACAACAGGAGGCUGGUGUGCCGGAUGAGUUUCGCCGUUGUUGAGAGUCUAAUAAAGGUGAACUUUUGGAUGAGUAAAUUUUCUAAAAAAAAAAAUUAAAAUUUACUUGUGAAUGAUGGAAAGGCUUGAAAAUUUUGAAUUUCGCUUGCAAAUAAAAUUACAAAGCACUCAAAAAUUAAAUAAAUAAAUAAAUUUUUAUGACCAAAAAUUAUUUUAUUUUUCUUUAUUUUUGAUAAAACACAAACACAUUCAUCCUAAAAAUAAAUCAACAAUAGCCAUUUUGACUCAUUUCUCAGUUUAUAAGAUGACUUUUCCUAUAAUACUUUAACAGAAGUCAAUUACAUUUGAAUAUAACUGAUUUUUGACUAUGCCGAUAUAAACAAGAGUCAAUGAUGAGAUUGUCUGGUGUAUUGGGCUGUGCUAUUGGCAUACUGGCAUUACACGUCUCUUGCAGUAGCACAACAAUUUUUGAACUCAUGCAUAUUCAAUUUAUGCCUCAUCAGUAUAAUUCUCAGAUCAAGGAUCACGAAAAUGCGUUAACAAAGCGCAUCUUCUCGUAAUUGUAUAUUUAGGCUAAUAUAUGCCCUCAUGCACUAUUCAUACAAGAGAAGCGUUGUGUCAUAAUUUAGAUAACUAGAUGGACUAAACCCAAAAGUUUUAAUUUUAAUUUUAUACUACAAUGUUUCUUUCAGUUAGGGAGACUAAAGGAACCUUUUGUAAUAAUAGUUAUGUUGCACUGCAGAUAAAUAUUUAUAAAGCAAUAUAUAGAAUUGGGCAACAUAGCCAGAUUUGUAUGCAAUUACAAUUAUAGUGCAAUUACAAUUAUAUAUAACCAAAUAGUAGUGAAUCAGGCAAUGUCUCCUUUCUUUGGGCUACAAAUUAAUGGAGGCCCAAACGAAUCCAAAACCAAUCCAUACUACACCCUACGACGAUUUGGGCUUUUUUCAUAUUUACUUGGCCCAACCAAGCGCUUAAAAGUUUAGGCGGUUUCCCCUUCCCUCCAAAACGUUGAACCUUCCCUCCACAUAGAAUAUUGUUCCUGCACCAGGUUCAUCAGAAUACUUGUGCACCGCUCAAUAAUUCCACAAUAGCUCCCUCAGUUUUUUUUUUUAUAUUGAGACCCUCCUCAACUUCUAAUUUUUAUAUUUAGUUUUAUAUUUAUUGACAAUUUCUAGAUUUAUUUUAUUUCAAAUUCAAUAACUCUGCUAGUUAUUAACAGUAAAUUGAUCAAGUUUUAUUUGCUAAAAAUAUUAAAUAUAUUUAUUUAUUUAUUUGAAAUCUUCAAUAAAUUGAAUACAAAUUUUUUACUAAAAUAUACUUGAUUAAAAGAAAUUCAAAAGUUGAGGGGUCUCAACGAAAAAAAAAAAAGGAAAGAUUGAGAAGGCCAUUUUGGGAUUAACCAAUAGUUAAAGGGUUCUCCAAACGUUUUUACCAAUUUAAAACAGAAAAAGCUGUAACUCCACGGACGGUUUAGAUUAACAUGGGAGUAGGAUGGGCGGUUGUUAUUGUCCCGUUCACAAAUGUAAAAAUACACCAGGUUUAGACAACGAUAUCUCCGAUCUGAAUAGACCCAUUUCCUCCAAACACCGCAUCCCUGCACCCGGUCUACGCACUUCUCCCCUAGCUCUUCUUCCCUCCCCUUUAAACCCUCUCUCUCUCUCUCUCUCUAUCUCUCUCCGCCAUGGCCGAGGACGACGAAGGCGACCUCGAUCUCCUCCUCUCCCUCAAGGACGAUAGGGUUUUGGAGACCCCACCCGGAUCCCCCUCCUCUCACCCUCCUCCUCCUCCUCCUCUUAUUCCACCAGGUACGCUUCCGCUCUUUACCCCAACCUCAUCGUUCCCAAAUCCAUUUCUCAAAACCCUAGUUCAUGGCUUCGCCCCACGCUAGACGAUGCGUCGCCGACGAGGUCUCGCCCCUCCGACAUGUCGAUCUUUCGCAAUGCCGUCAAAGAUUACCUCGACACCAACCCCACCCCCCCCUC